UACGUAGGGACCGAGCGUUGUCCGGAUUCAUUGGGCGUAAAGGGCUCGUAGGCGGCCAACUAAGUCAGACGUGAAAUCCCUCGGCUUAACCGGGGAACUGCAUCUGAUACUGGAUGGCUUGAGUUCGGGAGAGGGAUGCGGAAUUCCAGGUGUAGCGGUGAAAUGCGUAGAUAUCUGGAGGAACACCGGUGGCGAAGGCGGCAUCCUGGACCGACACUGACGCUGAGGAGCGAAAGCCAGGGGAGCAAACGGG
rnacentral:rRNA from 1 species